rnacentral:piRNA from 1 species
UAUGGAAUCUCAAAAACCUGC